rnacentral:rRNA from 1 species
UACGGAGGGGGCGAGCGUUAUUCGGAAUUAUUGGGCGUAAAGGGCGCGUAGGCGGCCCGGUAAGUCAAAGGUGAAAUCCCUCGGCUCAACUGAGGAACUGCCUUUGAAACUGUCGGGCUUGAGGCCGGGAGGGGGUAGCGGAAUUCCCAGUGUAGCGGUGAAAUGCGUAGAUAUUGGGAGGAACACCAGUGGCGAAGGCGGCUACCUGGGCCGUAACUGACGCUGAGGAGCGAAAGCAUGGGGAGCGAACAGG